rnacentral:sRNA from 1 species
UAGAUCUGACCAUCUGGCUGGUGUUCUG